UGAAAGUAACUAUAUUAUCACUUCUCAUUUUUACUCUUGCAUUAUUUUCUUGGCAUUUGGUAAAUGCAGCAUUUCAAUAUUUGCGGCACAUACUUUUUGUAUAAGGGUUUCUAGCAGGAAGUCAGAGUUUAAAAUUUUGUAUAAUCAGUUAGCUGUUUUGUCUCAAGAGCAGAUGCAGGUGUUUUUAAGCUGUGAGGAAUCUGGCAGGACUUUGGCUAUUGGAUACCAAUAACCUUAAAAUCUGUUAGCUAAACUUGCUGCUUAAUCUCCUCCUGCCGCAGGCAGCGGAAUCUGGGAUUUCCAAGGACACAUUGAAGCGCAGAUGGUUUUCUGGUCUCUCUCAGGGAAGUCAGGUGCAUGGGGAGAACCGGAGAACUGCGCAUUUGGGAGUGGAAAGAGUUGCAUCCGAGACAAGAGCAUUGAGACUGCUGAGUCUGGAGCCCAAGGCACAGAGCCUGCAAAGCAUUCCUCUAGCAAAGUCAGUUCCCUUGGCUCUGCUGGUGGCUGCGCUGAGAGGCUGAGAGCAUCUUUUGAACGUGCAAGGCAGAAGCCACUGCUGACAGUACAGCUUCGCUCAUCAGUUGAGAAAAGGUACAAGAUUGCAAAAGAGCGUCCUGGACAUAUUUGUCACAGGCUGGGAAGACCUGGUGAUUGUCGAAGUAAUGGGUCUGCUCACCUUCCCCGGCCAGAGGGUCCAUGUGCUGCUUCUUGCCUCAGAUACCAAGAAAACCUCACUAGCUGUGGGUCUCCUCGAGGACUCUCUUUACCAACACUUAGUCCCUGGAUUGGAAAUAAAACAAAC
rnacentral:lncRNA from 1 species